rnacentral:rRNA from 1 species
UACGAAGGGGGCUAGCGUUGCUCGGAAUCACUGGGCGUAAAGGGUGCGUAGGCGGGUCUUUAAGUCAGAGGUGAAAUCCUGGAGCUCAACUCCAGAACUGCCUUUGAUACUGAAAGUCUUGAGUAUGGGAGAGGUGAGUGGAACUGCGAGUGUAGAGGUGAAAUUCGUAGAUAUUCGCAAGAACACCAGUGGCGAAGGCGGCUCACUGGCCCAUAACUGACGCUGAGGCACGAAAGCGUGGGGAGCAAACAGG